rnacentral:rRNA from 1 species
UUAAAUUGCAGAGUUUGAUCAUGGCUACGAUUGCACGCUUGCAGCAUGACUGACACACUCAAAUCGAACGGUAACAGUAAACAAAUUGCAAUGUAGCUGAAAGGGGGGGGACGG